GGGAACAGACGGCCCCGUAACACGGGCCGCCCCCGCCAGAGGACCCCCUAACUCUGUUUCUAUUAUGUUUCUUCUGAGUAAAACAAGCAAAUAAAUUAAAACUUUCAACAACGGAUCUCUUGGCUCUGGCAUCGAUGAAGAACGCAGCGAAAUGCGAUAAGUAAUGUGAAUUGCAGAAUUCAGUGAAUCAUCGAAUCUUUGAACGCACAUUGCGCCCGCCAGUAUUCUGGCGGGCAUGCCUGUUCGAGCGUCAUUACAACCCUCAGGCCCCCGGGCCUGGCGUUGGGGAUCGGCGAGGCGCCCCCUGCGGGCACACGCCGUCCCCCAAAUACAGUGGCGGUCCCGCCGCAGCUUCCAUUGCGUAGUAGCUAACACCUCGCAACUGGAGAGCGGCGCGGCCACGCCGUAAAACACCCAACUUCUGAAUGUUGACCUCGAAUCAGGUAGGAAUACCCGCUGAACUUAAGCAUAUCAAUA
rnacentral:rRNA from 1 species